UGUUAAAAAUUUCAUCGUUGUUAAAAACUAGCGUGGUUAAUAGAACAAUCAAACAACUACACAUGGCGUGCCACAUGUACCUCAUUCUGACAUAAAAUGAUCAAUUUUUAAUAGUAAAAACGGAUGAAAUAUUUAAUA
rfam:Gossypium hirsutum cultivar TM-1 chromosome 4, whole genome shotgun sequence